AUGAUUUGAAGACACAAGCCGCGGAAUUUGAACGAUACUGCAAGUAUCCAAUGGAUGAGAACGGGCAGACAUUGAAGGACUUUUUGUCGCGACAUCCCACCGUCCAUUAUAAGCUGUUUAAAUAUUACGUACUCAACGAGACCCGUUUCAAGUUUGUGGUACGACAUAUUUUACCAGCCUUACGAACUAACAAGUAUCUGUUGGAUCUGUCGAUGCCUGCUCGCGUUACAAAUGAAGGAAUGUACACGUUUCUAUAACCACCAAAACCGAACCGGGGAAAUCGUUCCGUAUGUCUGUGCGCCCAUUAACUUAUCCUUGACAACCAAACGGUUGGUCGAACAUGCAAUACAUUAAAGACGCAUGGCCUGAGCAUUUUGUCCGCAUGUAUUCGACUCUGACCUGGAAGCAACUGAAGUAUGCAGUCCACUCUCGUUUUGUUACGUGGAUCGUACUAAGCAAGAUACUAAAGUGAAAAAAGAAGAACAGGCGGAAGAAGGACAUACACGCGAUUUUUACCAGUGCAAGUUGCCUCCCGAUAUGGAUAUCAGUCAACUGAGUCCGGAAGAACUGAAGAAACUGGAAUGGAAGCAUCUCGUGACGGGCGUGCAGUAUGCAUUAAUGCAUCAUCAGUCGGGGCAAGUUAUCAUAAAUAACAUUGCGAAAUGGAAUUCGAGAUUGCUCAUCAUUAUGUCAGAGGGACUGCGUUUUUCAAGAAAGUCGACUAUGCGACAGAAUUUCUAUGGCACACAAAUCAG